CAGCCGCCGCGGGAAUACGAAGGGGGCUAGCGUUGUUCGGAAUUACUGGGCGUAAAGCGCACGUAGGCGGAUAUUUAAGUCAGGGGUGAAAUCCCGCAGCUCAACUGCGGAACUGCCUUUGAUACUGGGUAUCUUGAGUAUGGAAGAGGUUAGUGGAAUUGCGAGUGUAGAGGUGAAAUUCGUAGAUAUUCGCAGGAACACCAGUGGCGAAGGCGGCUAACUGGUCCAUAACUGACGCUGAGGUGCGAAAGCGUGGGGAGCAAACAGGAUUAGAUACCCGCGUAGUCCCUGUCUCUUAACA
rnacentral:rRNA from 1 species